rnacentral:rRNA from 1 species
AGUGAACGCUGGCGGUAGGCCUAACACAUGCAAGUCGAACGGCAGCACAGUAAGAGCUUGCUCUUACGGGUGGCGAGUGGCGGACGGGUGAGGAAUACAUCGGAAUCUACUUUUUCGUGGGGGAUAACGUAGGGAAACUUACGCUAAUACCGCAUACGACCUACGGGUGAAAGCAGGGGAUCUUCGGACCUUGCGCGAUUGAAUGAGCCGAUGUCGGAUUAGCUAGUUGGCGGGGUAAAGGCCCACCAAGGCGACGAUCCGUAGCUGGUCUGAGAGGAUGAAUAGCCCCAAUUGGACUGAGGCACGGUCCAGACUCCUACGGGGAGAAACAGUGGGGAAUAUUGGACAAUGGGCGCAAGCCUGAUCCAGCCAUACCGCGUGGGUGAAGAAGGCCUUCGGGUUGUAAAGCCCUUUUGUUGGGAAAGAAAAGCAGCAGGUUAAUACCCCGCUGUUCUGACGGUACCCAAAGAAUAAGCACCGGCUAACUUCGUG